GGUUGCGUAGUGUAGCGGUGAUCACUCCGGAUUCUGAUAAUUUAAUCAUGUUUUCCGGCAACCCCGGUUCGAUUCCGGGCGCGACCU